UGAGACUCAAGAGGGCAAAGCAAAAGAUGUACGUCUUAAAGGGACUCAUUUCUUGGAAGAAGUUUAGACAGCUUACUUCUGGAAAGCACAGUUCUUCCACAUCCACCCUUUAUGUUUUGCUUUCUUUCCAUUCAUUCAUUCUCAUCAGAAAUCACCAAACUCAGUUAGGCAUUAUGGAAAGAAAGACAAGAACCCAACCGGGGUGGAAGACUUCAAGAGUGAUCAGAGAAGGCUGUAUGGAACAGACUGUCUUCAUCUCUUGAAGAAAUAAUGGCAGAAUCUUCCUAAAUGUGAGUUCUUUAUCCUGUAUUGGAGCAGGUUGUCUACAGAGAUUGAAGAAAACAGAAACAAGACGUGCCAAACUGGGCAGCCUGCAGAGCCCCUCUCUGAUGCAAGACCGUGGAUGCUGUUUCCGGCUCGGUCCUGCCUGGACAGGAUUUGCUGGUGGCAAAUAAUUUCCUCUUCCUGAGCCCCGCACAAAACAUUUUAAGGAUCGAACUCCCGAUUCAACAGGUUUCUUGACAUCUAAUCACAGCCGCCUGGUUGUAUUGCUGACAGUCUAUUAACAUUCCAAAUCAGCUUAUUAGGUCUUUAUGUAUUUCUUCAGUGAAUAAAAACAAGAAUUCUAGCAGAAGUUUCUUUUUAAAUCAUAACCUGGAAACCAUCAAAGCAAUAAGGUACAAAAACCUAAAGGAUUCAUCAUCAAGUUGCUGUCAAAGGAAAAGAAAACAAAAAUUGUGGAGGUCGUUUGACAUAGCAACCACGGCUCCCCUAAUAAAAAAUAAAAUACCAUGCAUGCAGAUGCUGACCAAGACAAAGGAAAGAAAUAGUGUCUAUUAAAGAUUUUUCAGCUAAGUGGCCAUUUUCAUUUAACAAUCCUUAGCAUCAUGAUAAAAUUAAAUAAAUUUAAGUUUUCACAUCUGUAUGUACCUGUUUCCACAAAACACUUGAAAUAGUUUAAAACAAGAUAGUAUGGUAAGAGGAUCUGUCAAGAGAAAUAAUUUCUCCAGAAGGAAUUAAAGUUGCAAAAUAAAAAUUUCUCCCUAACAAUAUUGUGGAGGGUCUAUGCUCUGCUUGGAAACAUGUUGUCAACAGAAGGAUAUCUCCAAAGAACUGGACAUAGAGCACAGACCCCAGGGAAUGUUGGCGAGGGCUCCUAUGACUCCCUGCAGGAGCCGGUCACUUCUGCGGUCCAUCGGGAGAAUUGGAGCCCUACAGAUGGUGAAAGAACACUGCCUGCUUAACAGUACCUGCAUCAACUCUCCUGGACUAAGAACCCUCGCCCCCUUUUUCAAGACCAAGCCAGCCUCUGGAGUUCCUGAACAAUGCAAAGAGUCAAGCCAUAAUAAGACUAAUGUAAUAUUCUUCUGCUAACCCUGG
rnacentral:lncRNA from 1 species